UUGUGCCUGACCAAGUGAGCUACCAUCAGUCAGCUGAGUGUGUGCUUUUGCAAUAACCUAUCCCAACUGCUAAAGCAAACACGUGUGAACUGCUCCCUAUCUCCACUAUAAUAACCUUUGUGUAGUGUUUCAUCUUUGAAGAGAAAAAUCCUGGAAUUCUGCUGUUGAGGUGCAACUGCUUCAAGUUUGUUGUUUUUACGCAUAGCAGCUACAGAGGUUGGGACCUCCCCCACAGGUACUUGUGCAUUUCCAAGAGCUCAGCAUCAUGCCAAAAUCUUGGGAACUGGGAGAACAACUGAAUGAUGAACUCAACACUUACUGGUUUGACUCCACCUGAACUCUACCAAUGAAAUCUAUAUCAUCCUGACAAGAAAUCAGCUGCUGCCUGAAACCUCUGACUUUGAGGAUGAAACUCUGUACAGGCACCAUGGGCUGGUUUGGAACUUGAUGUCACAGGCAUCAGGGGUAGAAAAAGGAUCUUCCACCAAGUAAUGGCAUCUUCAGUGACCUCAGCCCUGAAGAUCAGAGAGGAAUUUAUUAGAUACGUGGACAAGCAGCAUAGUGUUCAAAGUGACACGAUCAUUUUAAAGUAAAAUAGAGAUGUUUCAGUAAUGUGCUAAAGAAGUACUUCAGGUUUUCCUACUGUAGACUACCUGUAAAUCAAGUCUUUUCUUAUUUCAGCGUAUCUUUUGAUAUUUCUUUGUUCAGAACAUUCUGCGGUUGGAAAAUCACAUGUACCUGCAACCCUCCAGAGGAGAAAGUGAUUCAAAGGCUCUUCUUCAGUUCUGAUGGGAAGUGGAGAACCAGACUUCAGGUGCAAAUUGGAGAGGGCUUUGGUGCCAGCAAGAUGUCCUUUGAGGUAGCUGCAGCUCAAACGACUGUUGAAAUGAGCAGAGCCAGAGUUUGACUAGAAGCCGAGAAAAAGAGUACCUCGGGUCAGUUAAUCUACCGUAUCACAUGUGGGGGAUCUAUGAUAUGAUACUAUCUCUGCCUGCUCUGAAAUAGUGAAAGUGAAACGAUAAAGUCUUUAAAUGAAACCUUGA